AAUAUUUUCAUUGAUAGUGCACAGCAAACUUGACAAAGAAAGAAAAUUUUGUUAAGAUUUGGAAUAGUUCCCCCCUGGCCCCCCUCUCUUUUUCGCUCUAUGUACCCUCUUUUCACAUAGUAGGGUUACAUGUACACACUUCAAACAAUAUAAAGAUGGGUGUAACAAUAUCAGACAACUACCAGCCGGGUUAAACUGCUUGCUCAUCUACCAGUUUUUCCCUCUCUGCACAAAAGAAUGAGCAUUGGCACACAUACAAGGGCCAACUCAAGAUGAAUUGGUCAGAACAUUCCUUGAUGAAGGUUGUCAGGAGGAACAUCUGGCAUACAUCAGACCAAAUUGAUUGAUGACCUUUGUUGAAUAGAUCUCAAGCAAGGGGGAAAAAGGAGAAGCUAAGGAAAUGUAAAGAAACCCCAUGCUAAUCACAUCAUCCAUUAGUUGGCUGCCAUCUUAUGUUGUAGGAUUGAUCCUUCUACAUAUGUUUCUUGGUAUGCCUUUGGGUGCAAAAAUGAAGGAUAUUGUUGUAUGGCAAGGGGUGAUUGAAUAAAUAUGGACAAAGCAGUACAGAUCCUUUAGAGGCAGGCUAACACAUACUGACAAUUUUCUCAAUGGAAUUCCCACUCAUAUUAUUUCCUUAUUUCCCAUGCUUUCAAAGGUUGAAAGUCAAUUGGAUAGGAUUAGAAGAAAUUUCCUACGAGAAGGGGGCCAAAACAAGAGAAAGCUCUAUUUGGUGAAACAGGAAACUGAUACAAGAGGCAAAAAAACUGGGGGAUCGAGAAUCAAGAAUUUGAAGAUGCAGCACAAUAGUUUUAUUAAAAUGGCAUUAGAGGUUUAAUGACAGAAGAAAUAACUUACAGGAAAAUGCUAUUACUCUUAAAUAUGGUAAAGGAGAUGAAUUGUGCACCAACAAUGUUAAAAGUGUUGAUGGCUUCUGCUAGGAAAUACAUCGUGGGCCUCUGUGAUGAAAUUUUUGUAAUGAUCGUCUAGGUCAUUCCCUCUUCUUGUGUUAUUUUAGGCGUUUAGAACUUUCCUAUAGCAGCCCCUAGUCAUUUUUUACUACAUGGACUCACAGUUUUGUCACUUGGUCGUUCGUUUCGUUUUGUGCGAGUUUUCGUGUUUUGGAGCUUUGAAACUUUUACUUUAGACUUCGGUCAAAAAUUCAAGUCGGCAGCCUCAGAAUGCAACUAUGACGGUUCUGCUAUCUACGAAACAUCAGGUUUGGUCUAGGACCUUUGGUGCGGAUCUUGGGGCUUUUGGUGUGAGAUCCACUUUUUGUUGAGACAACCUCCAUCAGAAGUCAUUUAAGUGGUCUGUUUUAAAAGAGCAUUCUCGAAAAAUCUAAUCAAAUGUGCAAAUUGGUGAAGUUGAUUUCUUGGUCUCUAGAGCUGUGAUUGAGUUUGUUUUCAUCUCAUUAGGUCAGGAAUUAAUGGAGCUACGUGUUGGAACCAUGAGACUGUGGGGGAAUCGGAUUAGAGCAUGGCAGCAAAUGGAGGUGGUUCAGAAGGGUAAAGCUUUGUUUUAGUGGAUUUGAAGUGUGCACGGUCAACUUUGAGGUAGGCUACGACUUACCAGUCUUUUGAUUGAGCUUCUGUUAGUAAUUGAUUAGCUAGCUUUGGGUGGGGUGUCUAGCUUGUAUCAUAUUAAAGUGAUAAACCGCAUGCCUUAGCCUUAGCCUUAUUUUCGGAUAGUUUCGGAAAUUGAGCAUGCCUACUUGGUUGCGUGGAUGGUAUCGUGUGUUGUGGUAUCUUUAGUGUUGGUUGUAUUGAUUGGUAGCUUGUUCUUGGUUAGCCUAGACGUAGGCUAGUGAUUUCCUUAGACUUGCGAUUUGGAACCGUUUUGCCAUAGAAAUUCUCUAACGUCGCUUCGUAUAACUUAACUCUCUGUAGACCGAUAUAACACACUUGGGUAUGAUAUAUGAAUCCUUAUCUAGACGACAACUCAACUCUUGUAACUGUUCAUCCAUAACUUCUCUUAUGUUUCGACCCUGAUUUGUUCUUUGGCGAUUUCUGGCCUUGUUGGCUGUGUUGGGUUAGGUCUGGGACUCGAGCUAGAGUGGGUUCCCGUUGACUCUGAAGAUGGUUUCGCUCUAUGGUAUCUUCCCGUAUUGAGAAGAGCGUAUGAUUGGGAGACAUUCAGAGUCUACUAGCCGCAGUUUGAGGUUCAUGCGCAUAAUUAAUAGAUGCGGUUUGAGGUUCAUGUGCAUGUCUAUUAGUCAUGGUUCGAGGUCUGGGCGUAUUUCUAGUAGCCACAAUUUAAGUAUGGGUAUCAAUUCUAUUAGUCGAGAUCUAGCCAUGACUUGGUGAUUCUAUUAGGUUCUUUGGGAUGCCUUCACCGUGGUUUGAGUCCAAGGAUGACCAUUUCAGUUGUAGAAUACACUAGACUUAGUUAGUGUCACCUUUAGCUCUUUGUGUUCUCAACUACUCAUCGGGCUUAUGGGGUAUGUUUGAGUUAUUUAAUUUCGAAUUACGUACGAGUGUACCUUCUGGGCUUAUCAGGGUCAGUUAGGUUAUAGCAAAUUGUUUUACUUUACCAUAUGGUCCUUGUUCUAGAUCGUGGACUAUAUAGUUAGGAUUUUCGUUAUCGCUUCGUUCUUGUGACCUCUAGUUGCUGUUACUUUCUCGCUUUCAUAUUGUUUUUACUUUCUCAGCUCAGUUGGCCUAUGAUGCUACUGGUACAUGUUAUUUUGGUACUCAUGCUACACUUUGCAUCUGUUUUCUUGAUGCCGAUCCGAGCACUAGCUAACAAUGGUGAUUCGAGCCUUCUUGGAGCCUGUCUUCAGAGAUAGAAGGUGAGAUGAUGGCGUCCUAGUUCGACCAAUCUCCAUCUGUAUAUAGUUUUUGACUAGUCUUUUGUAUUCAAGACAAAUAUGUACUUUUUGAUCCACUUUUGGGACUAGUACUCUUAUAGUAGAUUCGUACUUUCGUUCCCAGGUCGUGGGAUUGGAUCUUGUAUUUUGGCCUUUGUAUAGAUUGUUGUUGUUCUCUUUUCCA